ensembl:lncRNA
AGUAACGCCAUAACAGCUCCUGCUCAGAAGUCAGUCAAAUCAAUAGUAACAGUAGACGGGGAUGGAAAGCAAAGAGGCCAUUGAGGAGGAUGGACCUCGCAUCUCCAAGACGGGAGGACGCUGCAGCAGAUCUACCCUGUCACCUCGGCAUCCUUGCAGGAUGCAGCUCUUUAAGUUGAACCCCACAAUUUACACACUUGAGGCAAUUCAAGCCUCGUUCAGCAGCGAACCCGUCCCUGUCUUCAGUUCCAGUAAAUCCAGAGGAGGAGCAACCACAUCUGCUGGCGGUGCAAAACAUGCACUCACUCACUGACGCUGUCGCCCACCAGAGGGAACAUGCCCUCUAAUGUUUUCCUGAGGAGUCUGGAUUCUGCAGGAAAUCCUACUUUCUCACUCUCAGAGAUGAAGCCCGCGUUUAAAAAAAAAAAAAAAAAGAUGACCCCAGAAGCAGGUGAGAGAGAAUUCAGGCCAUACUGACAAAUGUAAAGUUGAUGUGCCGUUCUGGUUCACAUGAAUAUGUAGAAUAUGGUCCAGUGUUGAGAAAUUAUAUGACUGAUGUGAUGUGCAUUCAGCUGGAUGAAAUGGAAUCAACGGGAAUUCAGACAUUUCCACUUAUUUCCCAAAACAGUGAACAUAACGGCUCAUCCGCAAAAUGACGAAGUAUUACUGUUUUUCAGAAAAGCCGGAACACUGACUCUAAUAUAUGGCAGGACAGGCAACCGCAUGCAUUCGUUGUGGGAUUGUUUCAACAAGCUGAAAGGAAACAUGAAUGAAUACAUCUUUCAGUCCGGACUAUUCAUUUUUCACCACUGAGAUGAUGGUUUUGGCAGGGCGGUGUACGUGCCUCUUGCUUCUCCGACUCCGUGCAACAAAGGAAAUGUUUAUGUAGAAAACCAUUUCGUUAAGGCCUUGAUCAUGAUUUGCUGAUCAUUUUGACCGUAUUUGUGCAUGCACUGAUCACAGAGCAAAUCCACGCUGUGGUCAGCAAUGAAGGGCGCAGAAUUCCCUCUUUUCACCGACAAAAUAAUCCAGCAAGUUCACACGCGUUAGAGAGCAUGCAUUUUGCUCCUCAUCUGAAGCAGAACGGCACAGUAAGUGAACUCGAGUUUAAAUACAGGAAAUCGGGGCACUCAGAGCGGCUGGAGAAGCGCCCGCAGCCGGCCAGCGUGCCCGGAGACACCGCUCCGCGCCACCCAGCAGCGUUCCGACCUGAUAUAUUAGCAUAGGUUUACAAGGGCACAGAACUACAUAUGUACGUUUGCCCUCACCGCUGACCUUACAAUGCACUUAGUAUCUCGUGUUUGAGUAAUGCAGCCUCUCCGCUUCCACGAGCAAUUUAUUCGAAAUAACGACAGUCAACCGCUCAUAAAUCACCAUUAGAUUCCUUUUUCACUGAGCUGGUGACUUUUACUAAACACAGAUAGAGACCGCAGGCUGAGGCCUAACCUUGUAUUGGCAUCUCUAUAGAUUUUAAUUCGUUUAAUUAGUUAAUUAUUUCGAAAAUCAAACAGAGCAUUCAUUACGGGCUCCCGCUCCGCUGGCAAAGGAUUACGGAACUAAUAUGGUAAUGAAGCAGAUCAAUUAUCACUCAAAGGGAAGUCAUUAACAACAGAAUUAGCAUAGCCUACGAGCGUGACCUUCGACCCCCCCCGCCCACAGUCAUUAGUCCUGCGGCUCCUGGCCUGCCUGCCACGCCUAGCGAGCGGCGGCUCUUUUUCUCACUCUGAAUCGCGGCGAGGACAAGCCGGCUGGCGGGGUGGCACUGCGUGGGCGCGGUCGAUGGCCGCUGGGAACGCCGCGCGGUGCCCUGGCCUGGCCACCUCGCUGGGGCCCCGCGGAGAGCUGUCACCACCGGUGCUGACCCAGCAGCCUGCUGGACACGGCCCCGCCGCCCAAGAAUAAUAAAUAACAGCCCAGAUAAUUCA